rnacentral:tmRNA from 1 species
GGGGGCGCUUUGGUUUCGACUGAUGAUAUGAAACUUGAGUUGCAUGCCGAGGAUGAUCUGUUGGCCUCGUAAAAAAGCGGAUCAAAACAUAUAAAUGCAGAUUCUAACGAAUUAGCUCUCGCUGCUUAAUCAGCGACGCCUCGCUCCUGACGCCUGUUAGGGGGACGAGGCGACGACAACAGGCUAGGCUUUCUUCGGGGUGUCCGCGCAGUCAGCUAAAAUAAAACAGGGCAAACGGAACAACUGAGUUUUUUGGAUGCACUUACUGUUCUAUAAUAAGCACCAAAUAAGCAUGUAGACGCUUAAGCAGAGUCUCAUGAGGACAGGGGUUCAACUCCCCUCGCCUCCACUU